UCCCUGGCGGUCCAGUGGUGAGGACUUGAUGCUUUCACUGUGGUGGCCCAGGUUCAAUCCCUGGCGAGGGAA
rfam:TPA: Bos taurus chromosome 10, whole genome shotgun sequence.